GCCUACGGCCAUACUAGUCUGAAAACGCCCGAUCUCUCGUCUGAUCUCGGAAGCUAAGCAGACUCAGGCCUGGUUAGUACUUGGAUGGGAGACCGCCUGGGAAUACCAGGUGCAGUAGGCU